rnacentral:rRNA from 1 species
UACAGAGGGUGCAAGCGUUAAUCGGAAUUACUGGGCGUAAAGCGUGCGUAGACGGUUAUGUAAGUCGGGUGUGAAAGCCCCGGGCUCAACCUUGGAACUGCCUUUGAUACUGGAGACCUUGAGUCCGGGAGAGGUGAGUGGAAUUGCGAGUGUAGAGGUGAAAUUCGUAGAUAUUCGCAAGAACACCAGUGGCGAAGGCGGCUCACUGGCCCGGAACUGACGCUGAGAUGCGAAAGCGUGGGGAGCAAACAGG